GGGUCAGUAGGUUGGUCGUGCCACCGGUACGUACUGGUCUCACUGAUUCCUCCUUCCUGAAGAACCGUAAUGCCAUUAAUUUGGUGUUGCGGGGGAAACAGGACUGUUACUUUGAAAAAAUUAGAGUGUUUAAAGCAAGCUAACGCUUGAAUACAUUAGCAUGGAAUAAUGAAAUAGGACGACCGAUCCUAUUUUGUUGGUUUCUAGGAUUGACGUA
rnacentral:rRNA from 1 species